AUUUUCUCUAAAUGGAAAUCACCUUAUUUUGUUUUUGUUUUUGUUUUUGUUGAGGAUUUAAUAUGACCUCUUUUUUUAUUGCUUUUUAUCCCUAGUUUUUUCUAGACUGCUUCUUUGAAGCUUUCGGUCCACUAGGAUGUCCUGAGUUUUUUCUAAGUCAUCUUUUGUGGUGUUCGACUUAGUGGGCUUUUUUUUUUGGGAGGUUUUGACUGCCAUGUUAUUGGUUAUUGAGGAACAACCACUAUAAACCUUUUGGUUUUUC
rnacentral:lncRNA from 1 species